rnacentral:rRNA from 1 species
UACGUAGGGUGCGAGCGUUGUCCGGAAUUACUGGGCGUAAAGAGCUCGUAGGUGGUUUGUCGCGUUGUUCGUGAAAACUCACAACUCAAUUGUGGGCGUGCGGGCGAUACGGGCAGACUGGAGUACUGCAGGGGAGACUGGAAUUCCUGGUGUAGCGGUGGAAUGCGUAGAUAUCGAGAGGAACACCUGCGGCGAAGGCGGGUUGCUGGGCUGACACUGACGCUGAUGCGCGAAAGCUAGGGGAGCGAACGGG